rnacentral:rRNA from 1 species
UAGGGAAUAUUGGACAAUGGGCGAAAGCCUGAUCCAGCAACGCCGCGUGCGCGAUGACGGCCUUCGGGUUGUAAAGCGCUUUUAGGAGAGAUGAGAAAGGACAGUAUCUCCAGAAUAAGCCUCGGCGAACUACGUGCCAGCAGCCGCGGUAAAACGUAGGAGGCGAGCGUUAUCCGGAUUUAUUGGGCGUAAAGCGUGUGCAGGCGGUCUAGCAAGUUGGAUGUGAAAGCUCCUGGCUUAACUGGGAGAGGUCGUUCAAAACUGCUAGACUAGAGAAUGGAAGAGGGAGGUGGAAUUCCGGGUGUAGUGGUGAAAUGCGUAGAUAUCCGGAGGAACACCAGUGGCGAAAGCGGCCUCCUAGGCCAUUUCUGACGCUAAGACACGAAAGCUAGGGUAGCAAACGG